UAAAAUAUUUUACUAGAUUGUAUUUAUGGUUAACAGUAUCUUGCACUACAAUUUAUAUUUAGAUAAUCAUUCAUUUUAAAAUUAUUUAUUGAGCACCUACUAUGUGUUAGGUAUUAGGUACAGAGCAAUGAAUACAGCAAGCACAGUUCCUCACCUCGUGGACCUGACACUGUAGUGUGAGAGAUAAUAAGCAAAUGAUAUAAGGCCAUGCAGUAGUUAAAUGCUAUGAAGAAACAUAAAAUCUGGUACAGGGACAGAGAGUAGGGAGGGAGCUCUUGUUAUAAAGGGUGGCCAGGAAAGACCAAGUUGUGUAGCAGAGGCCUGAAGGAAGCCAGGGACCAAGCCAUAUGAAUUUUCUCAGAUAGGUGUAUUCUAGUUAUAGAGAACAGCAACUGGAACGGUCCUGAGAAGGGAACAUUCCUGGAACAUUCAAGAACUAGCCAAGAGAUCAGCAAGUCUAUAGUAAAAAGAAACAUAGUAGAUAGUCAUCUAGUGUUUUCUUCUCUUCCUUCCUAUUAUCUCUCAUACCAUGUCAUGUUACUUUUCUAAAGGAUCUCAAUGGGGAAGAGAACAUCAUUGUCUUUAAGAUUCAAUUUUUUGUGUAUUGAAAGUCUUCAUGGUCAUUCUUUUGAGAUCAUGACCUACUACAACGUCCCCAGGCCUGCAUCCUCCACAGGCUCCAUGAGCAGAAAAGCAGACGAAUAGAAGAGCAGAGGAACAGAAGAAUAGCAGUGUGGCCGAGCAGCGUGGUAGAGAAAGAGGGAAGAGAAGCAGCAUCUGAAUGUUGAGAGGAGUUUGGCUGGGGACAGUCGGAGAGGAGAUUGGCCGCAGGACGACCCAACUCCAGGGGAGGAACAUCUUCCUACUCCAUUCGCUUCCCCACUCCCCAGCCAUUCCACUGAGAGCCACCUCCAUCUGGCAAUAAAAUCUCUUGCAUUCACUAUCCUUCAAUUUGCCUGUGUGACCUGAUUCUUCCUGGAUGCUGGACAAGAACCCAGCAUCCAGGUACCAAGAGGGCACUGGGCUGGAUAACACUUGAGCUGUCUGUGGACGGCAGAGCUAAAAGAGCACUGUAACAUGCCCACUGGGGCUUUGGGAGUUGCAGGCACCCACCCUGGAUGCUACUACCAUGGGGCUGGAGCCCAAAAGUGUUUGCCCCGCCUCCUGCACCUGCCCGUCUGCAUGCUCCCCCUCCAGUAAGGGGUUUGAGUGCACAGAGGCUGAACAGAUGAGCCACACCCCUGUCACACAUCCUGUGAAGGGGGUUAGGAAACUCUCCCAUUUCAUCUUGACCAUCUUUGAGGGACUAUUGAUGCUUUUGGUAUCAGCAGCCACAGAAUUCAUCAGACACAGCACAAAAGAGCAGGAGAAGAGAUAAUGGCAGAUGCCAGAAGGUUGUCCAGCUGGUUACUACCUCUCCUCUUCACCUGAUUAUACCUGAUUACUGCUGACUCGAUGGGCAGGGAGAGUCGCUGACUCCUGACAGAAAGACUCUGUCACCCCUUGCCAUUUAUUUUAGAUCCUGUGAAUCCUACUGUCAAUGUUGUGACACCUGCAAUGCCUGGGAUGAAGCUGCCCAUGUGAGCUGGGGAGGACUCCUGACCAGCGUGACACCUAACAUUGGAGUGAAGGGGCAGCAGAUGUGACUUGUUCCUCCUUGCCUUCCACCGUGAUUGUGAGACCUCUCCAGCCACGUGAAACGGAAUGGGAAAUACUCUUCUCCUACCACCAACUUGGCCACUCUCCAGUGACGAGGUUUCAGAAGCAGUGCAUUUUCAAGUUUCUGCCUCAGAAGAGAUCCAGUUUGGCAUUCUGUCUAAGUUCACUGCACAGAGACGGGUUUGGCUCUGUGAUUCAUCAGAAAUAAGAAAAACAAACACUGUAAAUGGAGAACUUGAAAAAGAGGUGGGCACCAUCUCCCCACCCAAGAGAAUGGAUUUAAGAGGAAAUUUGUUUAUGGGAUGAAGUUUUAAAAGGCGACCUGGAAAAUUUAGCAAAGAUGUAAAUAAACAACUCUUCCUUGGAUUGCAUUAGGCUUCAGAAUAAAUAUAUUAACCAGCUUCAGUCAAAGUCUGCCUAGAAUCUGACCCUGACAAGACCCAGUGACUAGUGCUGCUCCGAACCUUCCCCACCAACAGCAGGCAAUUUUCUCUGUGGCAAAGCUACCUCGAAACAGGCAUCCAGGCUUCCCUCCCACGAAGUGAAGAUGAGAAAACUGAGUCUCAGAAUGGACAAGCUCACAGAUGGCAAGUGGUAGAGCAGACUUCACACAUAGCCAUCUGAGUGAGAUGGGAAGCUGAUCCUCCAGCCCUGAUCAAGCCUUCAAAUGACUGCACCUCCAGCUGACAGAUUACCAAAAGCAACCUCCUUCCAGAAGACCUUGAGCCAAAACCACUCAGCUAAGCUACUUCCAGAUCCCUGAUCCUCGGAAACUGUGCGAGACAAUAAAUGUUUAAAUGGCCACCCACUUUGGAAUAAAGAGGACAUAUAAUUUGCCUAAGGUCACAUAGCACUCUCUAAAUCAGUACAGUAUUUUAGACAAAGCUUCAACUUUGCACUUUUAUGGGUCAUUUUGAUAUAAGACUACAAGGAUAUCUCCUCCCAUGACAAACUUGACUUCAUUUACAACAAAAGGCCAAGCAAGAUACAGUACACUGUGGGGAUAAAUGGUACUCACUGAGGACAGGAAUAUGCUGACAUUAUCUCAAUUUCCUCCUCCCUCCUGUUGUUCUCCUUUGGAUGCUUUCCUGGACUAUAGGGAGAAGGAAAAUAGAGAAAGGCCAACUGCGACUAGGCCAGAGAUCAGAUGUUACCUUGUAGGAAGCAUCUCAUUCUAACCUUAAGUACUCUCUUGAUGAAGUACGGGGCCAAGAGAUUUUGGAAUUCUACCACACAAGGUUGCUCAGCAUUCCAAGAAGUAUUGAUAACUCUUCAAGAGCAAAAGUCAUUUAAAUUAAACUUCUCUGGCCGGGCAUGGUAGCUCAUAUCUGUAAACCCAGCACUUUGGGAGGCUGAGGCUGGAAGAUCACU
rnacentral:lncRNA from 1 species